rnacentral:rRNA from 1 species
UAAGGAAUAUUGGUCAAUGGACGCAAGUCUGAACCAGCCAUGCCGCGUGAAGGAUUAAGGCCCUCUGGGUUGUAAACUCCUUUUAUCUGGGAAGAAAUGUACUUUUUCUUGAGUACUUGACGGUACCAGAGGAAUAAGCACCGGCUAACUCCGUGCCAGCAGCCGCGGUACUACGGAGGGUGCAAGCGUUAUCCGGAUUCACUGGGUUUAAAGGGUGCGUAGGUGGGCAGGUAAGUCAGUGGUGAAAUCUCCGGGCUUAACCCGGAAACUGCCGUUGAUACUAUUUGUCUUGAAUAUUGUGGAGGUAAGCGGAAUAUGUCAUGUAGCGGGGAAAUGCUUAGAUAUGACAUAGAACACCAAUUGCGAAGGCAGCUUACUACACAAUCAUUGACGCUGAGGCACGAAAGCGUGGGGAUCAAAC